rnacentral:rRNA from 1 species
AGAGUUUGAUCCUGGCUCAGGACGAACGCUGGCGGCGUGCUUAACACAUGCAAGUCGAGCGAUGAAGCUUCCUUCGGGAAGUGGAUUAGCGGCGGACGGGUGAGUAACACGUGGGUAACCUGCCUCAAAGUGGGGGAUAGCCUUCCGAAAGGAAGAUUAAUACCGCAUAAUAUAAGAGAAUCGCAUGAUUUUCUUAUCAAAGAUUUAUUGCUUUGAGAUGGACCCGCGGCGCAUUAGCUAGUUGGUAUGGUAACGGCUUACCAAGGCAACGAUGCGUAGCCGACCUGAGAGGGUGAUCGGCCACAUUGGAACUGAGACACGGUCCAGACUCCUACGGGAGGCAGCAGUGGGGAAUAUUGCGCAAUGGGGGAAACCCUGACGCAGCAACGCCGCGUGGGUGAUGAAGGUCUUCGGAUUGUAAAGCCCUGUUUUCUAGGACGAUAAUGACGGUACUAGAGGAGGAAGCCACGGCUAACUACGUGCCAGCAGCCGCGGUAAUACGUAGGUGGCGAGCGUUGUCCGGAUUUACUGGGCGUAAAGGGUGCGUAGGCGGAUGUUUAAGUGGGAUGUGAAAUCCCCGGGCUUAACCUGGGGGCUGCAUUCCAAACUGGAUAUCUAGAGUGCAGGAGAGGAAAGCGGAAUUCCUAGUGUAGCGGUGAAAUGCGUAGAGAUUAGGAAGAACACCAGUGGCGAAGGCGGCUUUCUGGACUGUAACUGACGCUGAGGCACGAAAGCGUGGGUAGCAAACAGGAUUAGAUACCCUGGUAGUCCACGCCGUAAACGAUGGAUACUAGGUGUAGGGGGUAUCAACUCCCCCUGUGCCGCAGUUAACACAAUAAGUAUCCCGCCUGGGGAGUACGGUCGCAAGAUUAAAACUCAAAGGAAUUGACGGGGGCCCGCACAAGCAGCGGAGCAUGUGGUUUAAUUCGAAGCAACGCGAAGAACCUUACCUGGACUUGACAUCCCUUGCAUAGCCUAGAGAUAGGUGAAGCCCUUCGGGGCAAGGAGACAGGUGGUGCAUGGUUGUCGUCAGCUCGUGUCGUGAGAUGUUAGGUUAAGUCCUGCAACGAGCGCAACCCUUGUUAUUAGUUGCUACCAUUAAGUUGAGCACUCUAAUGAGACUGCCUGGGUAACCAGGAGGAAGGUGGGGAUGACGUCAAAUCAUCAUGCCCCUUAUGUCCAGGGCUACACACGUGCUACAAUGGUAGGUACAAUAAGACGCAAGACCGUGAGGUGGAGCAAAACUUAUAAAACCUAUCUCAGUUCGGAUUGUAGGCUGCAACUCGCCUACAUGAAGCUGGAGUUGCUAGUAAUCGCGAAUCAGAAUGUCGCGGUGAAUACGUUCCCGGGCCUUGUACACACCGCCCGUCACACCAUGAGAGCUGGUAACACCCGAAGUCCGUGAGGUAACCGUAAGGAGCCAGCGGCCGAAGGUGGGAUUAGUGAUUGGGGUGAAGUCGUAACAAGGUAGCCGUAGGAGAACCUGCGGCUGGAUCACCUCC